GCUUGGCUUGAAGUAAGAAUAUGGCAAUUGGGAGAUGAAAUUUGGAACUCCAUGACUUCUGUCCUAUAUUAAGCAUUGUUCUUUGUUGAGCAGUAUUUUUGAAGAUUUAUCUCAAGCCAUCUCCUUAUCAAAGUCCUGUUUACUGUUGUCUUUCUAUAAUCAUCUCAUUGUUGUAGUCGUUUGGGAAUUCUAGGCCUGAUGACUGAAAUUA
rnacentral:misc_RNA from 1 species